rnacentral:rRNA from 1 species
CGGGAGGCAGCAGUGAGGAAUAUUGGGCAAUGCCCGCAAGGGUGACCCAGCAACGCCGCGUGAAUGAUGAAGGUCGUAAGAUCGUAAAGUUCUUUUGGCAGGGACGAAAGGUAGUGAUUCGUAAGGGUCAUUAAUUGACGGUACCUGCAGAAAAAGCCCCGGCUAACUACGUGCCAGCAGCCGCGGUAAUACGUAGGGGGCAAGCGUUGUCCGGAUUUACUGGGUGUAAAGGGCGCGUAGGCGGGCUUGUAAGUCAGAGGUGAAAUCCUGCAGCUUAACUGCAGAACUGCCUUUGAUACUGCAAGUCUUGAGUUCGAAAGAGAGAGAUGGAAUUCCAGGUGUAGUAGUGAAAUACGUAGAUAUCUGGAAGAACACCAGAGGCGAAGGCGAUCUCUUGGUUCGAUACUGACGCUGAGGCGCGAAGCGUGGGGAGCGAAACAGGAUUAGAGACCUGGUAGUCCACGCUGUAAACGAUGAAUACUAGGUGUUGGACAAUAGUUCAGUGCCGCAGCAAACG